rnacentral:tRNA from 1 species
GGAGGCGUCUGGGUUCCUGGUGGGCCCCCCGGGCUUCAACCCCGCGGAACGGCGUUCGACGUCGUUGGCAGGUUCGAUUCCUGUCCGCCUCCG